rnacentral:rRNA from 1 species
GAGAGAACGACCAGCCACACCGGAACUGAGACACGGUCCAGACUCCUACGGGAGGCAGCAGUGGGGAAUAUUGGACAAUGGGCGCAAGCCUGAUCCAGCCAUGCCGCGUGUGUGAAGAAGGCCUUCGGGUUGUAAAGCACUUUCACUUGGGAAGAAAAGUUCACCGUUAAUAGCGGUGAGCCCUGACAUUACCUUGAGAAGAAGCACCGGCUAACUCCGUGCCAGCAGCCGCGGUAAUACGGAGGGUGCGAGCGUUAAUCGGAAUUACUGGGCGUAAAGCGCGCGUAGGCGGUUUGUUAAGUCAGCUGUGAAAGCCCCGGGCUCAACCUGGGAACUGCAGUUGAUACUGGCCGACUAGAGUACGAGAGAGGGAGGUAGAAUUCCAUGUGUAGCGGUGAAAUGCGUAGAUAUAUGGAGGAAUACCGGUGGCGAAGGCGGCCUCCUGGCUCGAUACUGACGCUGAGGUGCGAAAGCGUGGGGAUCAAACAGGAUUAGAUACCCUGGUAGUCCACGCCGUAAACGAUGUCUACUAGCCGUUGGGAGACUUGAUUUCUUAGUGGCGCAGCUAACGCAAUAAGUAGACCGCCUGGGGAGUACGGCCGCAAGGUUAAAACUCAAAUGAAUUGACGGGGGCCCGCACAAGCGGUGGAGCAUUUGGUUUAAUUCGAUCAACGCGGAGAACCUUACCAGGUCUUGACAUCCAGAGAACUUUCCAGAGAUGGAUUGGUGCCUUCGGGAGCUCUGAGACAGGUGCUGCAUGGCUGUCGUCAGCUCGUGUCGUGAGAUGUUGGGUUAAGUCCCGUAACGAGCGCAACCCUUGUCCUUAGUUGCCAGCGCGUAAUGGCGGGAACUCUAAGGAGACUGCCGGUGACAAACCGGAGGAAGGUGGGGACGACGUCAAGUCAUCAUGGCCCUUACGACCUGGGCUACACACGUGCUACAAUGGAACGCACAGAGGGCAGCAAAAGCGCGAGCUGGAGCGAAUCCCACAAAACGUUUCGUAGUCCGGAUCGGAGUCUGCAACUCGACUCCGUGAAGUCGGAAUCGCUAGUAAUCGUGGAUCAGAAUGCCACGGUGAAUACGUUCCCGGGCCUUGUACACACCGCCCGUCACACCAUGGGAGUGGGUUGCUCCAGAAGUGGUUAGCCUAACCUUCGGGGGGGCGAUCACCACGGAGUGAUUCAUGACUGGGGUGAAGUCGUAACAAGGUA